rnacentral:hammerhead_ribozyme from 1 species
AUCCAGCUGAAGAGUCCCAAAUAGGACGAAACGUGCAUCAUGGAU